UACGUAGGGGGCAAGCGUUAUCCGGAUUUACUGGGUGUAAAGGGAGCGUAGGUGGCAUGGUAAGCCAGGAGUGAAAACCCGGGGCUCAACCCCGCGGAUUGCUUUUGGAACUAUCAGGCUGGAGUGCUGGAGGGGUAAGCGGAAUUCCUAGUGUAGCGGUGAAAUGCGUAGAUAUUAGGAGGAACACCGGUGGCGAAGGCGGCUUACUGGACAGAAACUGACACUGAGGCUCGAAAGCGUGGGGAGCAAACAGG
rnacentral:rRNA from 1 species